AAUCAGUCAGAUGACACAUACAGGCCUGCGCUGCCGCCCACAGAGACCCAGACGGCGCACCACCGGCAGCAGGGCUAUUUGUUAUUGCGCAGAGGGGUCACUUCCCGUCUGGGUCUCAUGGCUUCCGGUUGUAGAGGAUGCUAAGGUAGAGGAGGAAAGAAGAAGGAAUUCCAGUUGUGGAGAUGGGGAAUGGAGGAUAGCAGGACCACAAAAAUAGAAAACCUGAAGUCUGUUUCCAGUUUCCAUGGAAAGAAAUAGGAGACGUUACUUUUGGAGCAACCUAUGUAUAUGUGGUACAAGACAAUUUCUCUUCACCCAGUGUGGCCCAGGCAAGCCAAAAAGUUGGACACCCAUGGUCUAAAACCUUUGUGGAAGUAUGGAAGUGGCAGCUGGGAAACAGCAAACUAGUGAACCUUGCAAGGCUUGCAGAGCCUGCGUCUGCCCUGGAUGUUUGCUCUCAAGACUGUGCUCCAUGCUGCCUCUGUUGGUGUAACUUGACAUCCUCAUGGCAUCACAUCAGCUUCAGGCUCUUAGAGAGAUCAGAGUGGGAGAAGGAGAAAGCAUAGGUGAGAGGAAAGAAAGUGAGGAAGAAACGAAAGAGAAGAAGAGGUCCUGAAGGUCUGGUCUCAGACUGGACCCAGCAGUGCUGGAAAUCUGAUUUGCUCUCUCCAGUAUCAGCCAUAUUCCAAUUCACCUGGCCAGGGAAACACAAGCACCUGUGUUUGGUGAGUGCUUGUGUCUGGGCAGCUCUCUUGUGGGCAGGAAUGAGGAGAUUAGUUUCUCUCUUUUUCAGAGUGGGAGAAGGUCUAAUGGAAGCAGAGGGUUUCAAAGUCCAGCAGAUAGCACAGCUAACUCUUCUAUACUGCCUUCUACCUUCUUGUUUUUCUCAGUGAAGGCAUGUGAGAUUAUGGUAUUGGAAGAUGAAGAUCCAGGCAGAUCUGCUGAAACCUGAAGCCUAAGAGGACUUUGGUAUCAUGGGACUGGUGACAUACAUUCUUCCAUUCUCUUCGAAAUCAAGUUAAAUUUAUUGGAAAAUUUAUUAUGAGGGGAUCACUGUACAUGAAUGCCAUUGAUUACUGUCAGGUGUUGCAGCAUCUUUCCAGCUGGAGAGGGGCCAGAUUGAGGUCAUGGCAACUGUAAGAUCCUCCUCCACUGAUAAAAUCUACAUUUACCCUAUAUGCCCUUCUCCCACUGCUUAACAUGGCGCUAACUCCUGUGUAAGUACGCACUUGCUCCUAUUUUGAUUGUGCCUCCCUGUAUAAUGGAUAUCAAAAUAUACGGAUGUAAAAACA